rnacentral:rRNA from 1 species
UACGUAGGAUGCAAGCGUUGUCCGGAAUUAUUGGGCGUAAAGAGCUUGUAGGCGGUUUGUCGCGUCUGCUGUGAAAUUUCGGGGCUCAACCCCGAACUUGCAGUGGGUACGGGCAGACUAGAGUGUGGUAGGGGAGACUGGAAUUCCUGGUGUAGCGGUGAAAUGCGCAGAUAUCAGGAGGAACAGCCGAUGGCGAAGGCAGGUCUCUGGGCCACUACUGACGCUGAGAAGCGAAAGCAUGGGGAGCGAACAGG